UCAAACUUGGUCAUUUAGAGGAAGUAAAAGUCGUAACAAGGUUUCCGUAGGUGAACCUGCGGAAGGAUCAUUAACAAUUGUCCACCAUGGAUAAUUUAAUCCAUAUCCACCUUGUGUGAAUCACUGAAGUGUUUGUUGGCAGGUUAAGUCUCUCUCUAUCGAGAGCUGGGGGUUGGUAUUGUUUGUUCAAUGCUUCACCGGCCUGCCAAUUUUAUUUAUAUGUAAACUUGUCUCAAAUAUUACUGGUCUGAAAUAUAUAAAAAGUAUAACAAAAUACAACUUUCAACAACGGAUCUCUUGGCUCUCGCAUCGAUGAAGAACGCAGC
rnacentral:misc_RNA from 1 species